AACGAACGCUGGCGGCAUGCCUAACACAUGCAAGUCGAACGAGACCUUCGGGUCUAGUGGCGCACGGGUGCGUAACGCGUGGGAAUCUGCCCUUGGGUCCGGAAUAACUCAGAGAAAUUUGAGCUAAUACCGGAUGAUGACGUAAGUCCAAAGAUUUAUCGCCCAGGGAUGAGCCCGCGUAGGAUUAGCUAGUUGGUGAGGUAAAGGCUCACCAAGGCGACGAUCCUUAGCGGUCUGAGAGGAUGAUCAGCCACACUGGGACUGAGACACGGCCCAGACUCCUACGGGAGGCAGCAGUGGGGAAUAUUGGACAAUGGGCGAAAACCUAGAUCCAGCAAUGCCGCGUGAGUGAU
rnacentral:rRNA from 1 species